AUUGAACGCUGGCGGCAGGCCUAACACAUGCAAGUCGAACGAGUGGCGGACGGGUGAGUAAUGUCUGGGAAACUGCCUGAUGGAGGGGGAUAACUACUGGAAACGGUAGCUAAUACCGCAUACCAUCGGAUGUGCCCAGCUGGGAUUAGCUUGUUGGUGGGGUAACGGCUAACCAAGGCGACGCUCCCUAGCUGGUCUGAGAGGAUGACCAGCCACACUGGAACUGAGCCACGGUCCAGACUCAUACGGGAGGCAGCAGGGGGGAAUAUUGCACAAUGGGCGAAAGCCUGAUGAAGCCAUGCCGCGGGUAGGAAGAAGGCCUUCGGGUUGUAAAGUACUUUCAGCGGGGAGGCGUUACCCGCAGAAGAAGCACCGGCUAACUCCGUGCCAGCAGCCGCGGUAAUUC
rnacentral:rRNA from 1 species